rnacentral:rRNA from 1 species
GUGUCAGCAGCCGCGGUAAUACGUAGGGGGCAAGCGUUGUCCGGAGUUACUGGGCGUAAAGGGCGCGCAGGCGGUUGGGUAAGUUUGGGGUGACAGUGCGAGGCUUAACUUCGCAAGGCCCUCGAAAACUGCUCAACUUGAGGACCAGAGAGGGACACAGAAUUCCGGGUGGAGUGGUGAAAUGCGUAGAUAUCCGGAGGAAUACCAAAGGCGAAGGCAGUGUCCUGGCUGGUAACUGACGCUCAGGCGCGAAAGCUAGGGGAGCGAACAGGAUUAGAUACCCCGGUAGUCC